rnacentral:rRNA from 1 species
GGGUUGUGAGGUUAAGCGACUAAGCGUACACGGUGGAUGCCCUGGCAGUCAGAGGCGAUGAAGGGCGUACUAAUCUGCGAUAAGCGCCGGUAAGGUGAUAUGAACCGUUAUAACCGGCGAUACCCGAAUGGGGAAACCCAGUGUGAUUCGUCACACUAUCAUUAACUGAAUCCAUAGGUUAAUGAGGCGAACCGGGGGAACUGAAACAUCUAAGUACCCCGAGGAAAAGAAAUCAACCGAGAUUCCCCCAGUAGCGGCGAGCGAACGGGGAGGAGCCCAGAGCCUGAAUCAGCAUGUGUGUUAGUGGAAGCGUCUGGAAAGGCGCGCGAUACAGGGUGACAGCCCCGUACACAAAAGCGCAUGUGCUGUGAGCUCGAUGAGUAGGGCGGGACACGUGGUAUCCUGUCUGAAUAUGGGGGGACCAUCCUCCAAGGCUAAAUACUCCUGACUGACCGAUAGUGAACCAGUACCGUGAGGGAAAGGCGAAAAGAACCCCGGCGAGGGGAGUGAAAAAGAACCUGAAACCGUGUACGUACAAGCAGUGGGAGCACCCUUUGGGUGUGACUGCGUACCUUUUGUAUAAUGGGUCAGCGACUUAUAUUCUGUAGCAAGGUUAACCGAAUAGGGGAGCCGGAGGGAAACCGAGUCUUAACCGGGCGUUAAGUUGCAGGGUAUAGACCCGAAACCCGGUGAUCUAGCCAUGGGCAGGUUGAAGGUUGGGUAACACUAACUGGAGGACCGAACCGACUAAUGUUGAAAAAUUAGCGGAUGACCUGUGGCUGGGGGUGAAAGGCCAAUCAAACCGGGAGAUAGCUGGUUCUCCCCGAAAGCUAUUUAGGUAGCGCCUCGUGAAUUCAUCUCCGGGGGUAGAGCACUGUUUCGGCUAGGGGGCCAUCCCGGCUUACCAACCCGAUGCAAACUGCGAAUACCGGAGAAUGUUAUCACGGGAGACACACGGCGGGUGCUAACGUCCGUCGUGAAGAGGGAAACAACCCAGACCGCCAGCUAAGGUCCCAAAGUCAUGGUUAAGUGGGAAACGAUGUGGGAAGGCCCAGACAGCCAGGAUGUUGGCUUAGAAGCAGCCAUCAUUUAAAGAAAGCGUAAUAGCUCACUGGUCGAGUCGGCCUGCGCGGAAGAUGUAACGGGGCUAAACCAUGCACCGAAGCUGCGGCAGCGACACUGUGUGUUGUUGGGUAGGGGAGCGUUCUGUAAGCCUGCGAAGGUGGCCUGUGAGGGUUGCUGGAGGUAUCAGAAGUGCGAAUGCUGACAUAAGUAACGAUAAAGCGGGUGAAAAGCCCGCUCGCCGGAAGACCAAGGGUUCCUGUCCAACGUUAAUCGGGGCAGGGUGAGUCGACCCCUAAGGCGAGGCCGAAAGGCGUAGUCGAUGGGAAACGGGUUAAUAUUCCCGUACUUGGUGUUACUGCGAAGGGGGGACGGAGAAGGCUAUGUUGGCCGGGCGACGGUUGUCCCGGUUUAAGCGUGUAGGUGUGUGUUCCAGGUAAAUCCGGUUCACUUUAACACUGAGGCGUGACGACGAGGCACUACGGUGCUGAAGCAACAAAUGCCCUGCUUCCAGGAAAAGCCUCUAAGCAUCAGGUAACAUCAAAUCGUACCCCAAACCGACACAGGUGGUCAGGUAGAGAAUACCAAGGCGCUUGAGAGAACUCGGGUGAAGGAACUAGGCAAAAUGGUGCCGUAACUUCGGGAGAAGGCACGCUGACACGUAGGUGAAGUGAUUUACUCAUGGAGCUGAAGUCAGUCGAAGAUACCAGCUGGCUGCAACUGUUUAUUAAAAACACAGCACUGUGCAAACACGAAAGUGGACGUAUACGGUGUGACGCCUGCCCGGUGCCGGAAGGUUAAUUGAUGGGGUCAGCGCAAGCGAAGCUCCUGAUCGAAGCCCCGGUAAACGGCGGCCGUAACUAUAACGGUCCUAAGGUAGCGAAAUUCCUUGUCGGGUAAGUUCCGACCUGCACGAAUGGCGUAAUGAUGGCCAGGCUGUCUCCACCCGAGACUCAGUGAAAUUGAACUCGCUGUGAAGAUGCAGUGUACCCGCGGCAAGACGGAAAGACCCCGUGAACCUUUACUAUAGCUUGACACUGAACAUUGAGCCUUGAUGUGUAGGAUAGGUGGGAGGCUUUGAAGUGUGGACGCCAGUCUGCAUGGAGCCGACCUUGAAAUACCACCCUUUAAUGUUUGAUGUUCUAACGUGGACCCGUUACCCGGGUUGCGGACAGUGUCUGGUGGGUAGUUUGACUGGGGCGGUCUCCUCCUAAAGAGUAACGGAGGAGCACGAAGGUUGGCUAAUCCUGGUCGGACAUCAGGAGGUUAGUGCAAUGGCAUAAGCCAGCUUGACUGCGAGCGUGACGGCGCGAGCAGGUGCGAAAGCAGGUCAUAGUGAUCCGGUGGUUCUGAAUGGAAGGGCCAUCGCUCAACGGAUAAAAGGUACUCCGGGGAUAACAGGCUGAUACCGCCCAAGAGUUCAUAUCGACGGCGGUGUUUGGCACCUCGAUGUCGGCUCAUCACAUCCUGGGGCUGAAGUAGGUCCCAAGGGUAUGGCUGUUCGCCAUUUAAAGUGGUACGCGAGCUGGGUUUAGAACGUCGUGAGACAGUUCGGUCCCUAUCUGCCGUGGGCGCUGGAGAACUGAGGGGGGCUGCUCCUAGUACGAGAGGACCGGAGUGGACGCAUCACUGGUGUUCGGGUUGUCAUGCCAAUGGCACUGCCCGGUAGCUAAAUGCGGAAGAGAUAAGUGCUGAAAGCAUCUAAGCACGAAACUUGCCCCGAGAUGAGUUCUCCCUGAGACUUAGAGUCUCCUGAAGGAACGUUGAAGACGACGACGUUGAUAGGCCGGGUGUGUAAGCGCAGCGAUGCGUUGAGCUAACCGGUACUAAUGAACCGUGAGGCUUAACCUUACAACGCCGAAG